AUUUGGAGAGGGAAGCUUUCUUACUCAUUUUUCUUACAUAUAACAGAUAAAUAAAGGGAAAAAGCAAGAAGAUAAAAAAAGAAUAAGCUUAAAUUAGUGGCUUUUGGAGCAAGUGAAAUAGUGGACAAUGGCGCCACCGGUGGUGGACUGUCAGUAAUUGAUUCCAUUUCAUGUUAAGAGAAAAGAUUAGAUGAAGAAGAUGAGUGGUUAAGAGUGAUGAUGAAGAAGAUGAGAAGAGAAAAGAUUAGAUGAAGAAGAUGA
rnacentral:lncRNA from 1 species